UUCCUGAAGUCCUUCCGAAUGACCUUCCGGACAAAGCCAGGGCUGCGAGAGCUAAGGCAAGCCGCUGCGGCUGCAAGGACUGAGCCCCUUGCAUGAAUUUUGUGC